UCUUGGGGUGCCAUGGGCAUCCCCAAUCUUAGUAUCUUGUCACUCCUUUUUCCAUAAUCCAUCAAAUCUUUCACCCAAAACUUGAAAACUUCACAACACAAAACUUAACAGAAAAUCUCGUGAGCUCCGUUAGCGAAAGAAAACAAAACACCACUUCAAGGUACUGUAAUGAACUCAUUCUUUAUUUAUAUUGGUGUUAAACCUACUUUAUUCCAACUUCUCUAUGGUUUAUAAACUAUUUUAUUAGCCAUAGAUUCAUCAAAAUAAGCAAACAACACACGAAAAACAGAAUCCGUCAAAAACAGAACAGUCUGUAGUAAUCUGUAACUAACGCAAACUUCUGGAACUCCAAAAACUCAGCCAAAAUAGGAAGACCUAGACAAUUUGUUUAUUGAUCAUAAGCAAUUUGAAUCAAUAUUUUAUCACGUUCUGGUGAUUUUUAACAAUUAUUUUCAUGAACAUAAAGUUUCUGGAAUUUUCAGCAAGAUCAAAUAACUAUCAUCCAAGAAGAACCUAUAGGUUAAACUUGGCACAAACACUAAUUAAAACAUAAAAACAAAUCUAACCAGAGGCUAGAUCAAAUAUUUAUUCCUAAGAAAAAAAGAAAAAACUAAAAAAAUAAAACUGGGUUGCCUCCCAACAAGCGCUAUCGUUUAACGCCCCUAGCUAGGCAUAAUAGCAAGGAUAGAUCUAGGUAUUGCCAUCUUUGGUAGGCAAUCCAUAAGUGGCUCUCAUAAUAGAUUCAUAAGGUAAUUUUAUUUUCUUUCUAGGGAAGUGUUCCAUGCCUUUUCUUAACGGAAAUUGGAAUCUAAUAUUCCCUUCCUUCAUAUCAAUAAUUGCACCAAUCGUUCUAAGGAAAGGUCUACCAAGAAUAAUAGGACAUGAAGGACUGCAAUCUAUAUCAAGAACAAUAAAAUCUAUGGGCACAUAAUUCCUAUUUUCCAAAAUAAGAACAUCAUUAAUUCUUCCCAUAGGUUUCUUAAUGGUGGAAUCCGCAAGGUGUAAGUUUAAAGAGCAAUCAUCAAAAUCACAGAAACCUAGCAAAUCGCACAAAGUUUUUGGAAUCGUGGAAACACCAGCACCCAAAUCACAUAAAGCAUAGCAUUCAUGAUCUUUAAUUUUAAUUUUAAUAGUAGGUUCCCACUCAUCAUAAAGUUUUCUAGGGAUAGAAACUUCCAACUCAUGUUUUUCUUCAUAAGAUUGCAUCAAAGCAUCAACGAUGUGUUUGGUAAAGGCUUUAUUUUGACUAUAAGCAUGUGGAGAAUUUAGCACGGAUUGCAACAAGGAAAUACAACCUAUCAAAGAGCAAUUAUCAUAAUUAAAAUCCUUGAAAUCCAAAAUAGUGGGUUCAUUAAUAUCUAGAGUUUUGAUCUCUUCAAUCCCACUUUUACCAAUUUUUGCAUCAAGAUCUAAAAACUGCGAAUUUUUGGAACGCCUUCUAGGUAAAUGUGGAUCAUACUCAGUGCCAUCAUUAUCAAGAUUCAUAUUGCAAAAAAAAGAUUUAAUAGGGAAAACAUCAAUAACUUUUAGAUCUUCAUCUUUAUUUUCAUAGAAACUAGAAGAACACGCUUUCACAAAACAAUCUUUCUUAGCACGCAUCCUAGCGGUUCUUUCUUUGCACUCAUCAAUGGAAAUUCUCAUGGCAUUGAGAGACUCAUUGAUAUCAUGCUUAGGUGGAAUAGAUCUAAGUUUCAAAGAAUCAACAUCAAGAGAAAUUCUAUCAACGUUCCUAGCUAAUUCAUCAACUUUAAGCAAUUUUUCUUCAAGCAAAGCAUUGAAAUUCUUUUGCGAAUUCAUAAACUCCUUAACACUAGUCUCAAAUUCAGAGGGCAUCUUAUUAAAAUUUCCAUAAGAAUUGUUGUAUGAAUUACCAUAAUUAUUAGAGGAAUUACUAGGAUACGGCCUAGGAUUAAAGUUUCCUCUAUACGCGUUGUUACCAAAAUUAUUCCUACCAACAAAAUUCACAUCCAUAGAUUCAUUAUUACUCUCAAUCAAAGUAGACAAAGGCAUAUCAUUAGGAUUAGAAGAAACACUUUUAUUAGCAAAUAAUUUCAUAAGUUCAUCCAUCUUUCCACUGAAAACAUUAAUUUCUUCUAUCGCAUGCACUUUCUUAUUAGUAGAUCUUUCAGUGUGCCAUUGAGAAUAAUUAACCAUAAUAUUAUCUAGGAGUUUAGUAGCUUAUCCUAAAGUGAUUUCCAUAAAAGUGCCUCCCGCGGCCGAAUCUAAAAGAUUUCUAGAAGCAAAAUUCAAUCCGGCAUAAGAACUUUGUAUAAGCAUCCACAAAUUCAAACCAUGAGUAGGGCAAUUACGUAUCAUUAAUUUCAUCCUCUCCCAAGCUUGUGCAACAUGUUCAUGAUAAAGUUGCUUAAAAUUCAUGAUAUCGUUUCUAAGAGAGAUGAUCUUAGCGGGAGGAAAAUACUUAGAGAUAAAAGCAUCUUUGCACUUAUUCCAAGAAUCAAUACUAUUUUUAGGCAAAGACGAAAACCAAGCUUUAGCACGAUCUCUAGGCAAAAAAGGAAAUAGCUUCAAUUUAACAAUAUCAUUGUCCACAUCUUUCUUCUUUUGCAUAUCACACAAAUCAACGAAGCUAUUUAGAUGGGUAGCGGCAUCUUCACUAGGAAGGCCGGCGAAUUGAUCUUUCAUGACAAGAUUCAACAAAGCAGCAUUAAUUUCACAAGAUUCAGUAUCGGUAAGAGGAGCAAUCGGAGUGCUAAGGAAAUCAUUGUUGUUGGUAUUGGUAAAGUCACACAAUUUGGUAUUAUCUUGAGCCAUCGUGACAAGCAAGCAAUCCAACACACGAGCAAACAAGAAGCACGCGAAAAAGAGGCGAACGGAAAAGAGAGGGCGAAUAAAACGGCAAGGGUGAAGUGGGGGAGAGGAAAACGAGAGGCAAAUGGCAAAUAAUGUAAUGCGGGAGAUAAGGGUUUGUGAUGGGUACAUGGAGCAAUAAAAAAUUAUAGAUACGUUGGAGACGUAUGAAGCAUCCCCAAGCUUAAUUCCUGCUCAUCCUCGAGUAGGUAAAUGAUAAAAACAGAAUUUUUGAUGCGGAAUGCUACUUGGCAUAAUUUCAAUGUAAUUCUUCUUAAUUGUGGUAUGAAUAUUCAGAUCCGAAAGAUUCAAGAUAAAAGUUCAAUAUUGACAUAAAAAUAAUAAUACUUCAAGCAUACUAACUAAGCAAUUAUGUCUUCUCAAAAUAACAUGGCCAAAGAAAGUUAUCCCUACAAAAUCAUAUAGUCUGGCUAUGCUCUAUCUUCACCACACAAAAUAUUUAAAUCAUGCACAACCCGAUGACAAGCCAAGCAAUUGUUUCAUACUUUUGACAUUCUCAAACUUUUUCAAUCUUCACGCAAUACAUGAGCGUGAGCCAUGGACAUAGCACUAUAUGUGGAAUAGAAUGGUGGUUGUGGAGAAGACAAAAAGGAGAAGAUAGUCUCACAUCAACUAGGCGUAUCAAAGGGCUAUGGAGAUGCCCAUCGAUAGAUAUCAAUGUGAGUGAGUAGGGAUUGCCAUGCAAUGGAUGCACUAGAGCUAUAAGUAUAUGAAAGCUCAACAAAAGACACUAAGUGGGUGUGCAUCCAACUCGCUUGCUCACGGAGACCUAGGGCAUUUUGAGGAAGCCCAUCAUUGGAAUAUACAAGCCAAGUUCUAUAAAAAAUUCCCACUAGUAUAUGAAAGUAAUAUCAUAGGAGACUCUCUAUCAUGAAGAUCAUGGUGCUACUUUGAAGCACAAGUGUGGUAAAAGGAUAGUAACAUUGUCCCUUCUCUCUUUUUCUCUCAUUUUUUUAUUUGGGCCUUUUUUCUCUUUUUUUAUGGCCUCUUUUUUUUUCGUCCGGAGUCUCAUCCCGACUUGUGGGGGAAUAAUAGUCUCCAUCAUCCUUUCCUCACUUGGGACAGUGCUCUAAAAUUGAUGAUCAUCACACUUUUAUUUUCUUACAACUCAACAAUUACAACUCGAUACUUAGAACAAAAUAUGACUCUAUAUGAAUGCCUCCGGCGGUGUACCGGGAUAUGCAAUGAAUCAAGAGUGACAUGUAUGAAAGAAUUAUGAACGGUGGCUUUGCCACAAAUACAAUGUCAACUACAUGAUCAUGCAAAGUAAUAUGACAAUGAUGAAGCGUGUCAUAAUAAAAGAAACGGUGGUAUGUUGCAUGUCAAUAUAUCUCGGAAUGACUAUGGAAAUGCCAUGAUAGGUAGGUAUGAUGGCUGUUUUGAGGAAGGUAAAUGGUGGGUGUAUGAUACCGGCGAAAAGUGCGCGGUAUUAGAGAGGCUAGCAAUGGCGGAAGGAAGAAGGGUGCGUAUAAUCCAUGGACUCAACAUUAGUCAUAAAGAACUCAUAUACUUAUUGCAAAAAUCUACAAGUAUCAAAGCAAAGUAUUACGCGCAUGCUCCUAGGGGGAUAGAUUGGUAGGAAAAGACCAUCGCUCGUCCCCGACCGCCACUCAUAAGGAAGACAAUAAAUAAAUAAAUCAUGCUCCGACUUCAUCACAUAACGGUUCACCAUACGUGCAUGCUACGUGAAUCACAAACUUUAACACAAGUAUUUCUCAAAUUCACAACUACUCAACUAGCAUGACUCUAAUAUCACCAUCUUCAUAUCUCAAAACAAUUAUCAAGCAUCAAACUUCUCAUAGUAUUCAACACACUCAUACGAAUUUUUUUUACUAAUCUUAUAUGCCUAUUAUUGUUAAAGCAAACUACCAUGCUGUUUUGUAGGACUCAAAAUAAUCUAAGUGAAGCAUGAGAGAACAAUAGUUUCUAUAAAACAAAAUCACCACCGUGCUCUAAAAGAUAUAAGUGAAGCACUAGAGCAAAAACUAUAUAACUCAAAAGAUAUAAGUGAAGCACAUAGAGUAUUCUAAUAAUUUCUGAAUCAUGUGUGUCUCUCUCAAAAGUUGUGUACAGCAAGGAUGAUUGUGGUAAACUAAAAAGCAAAGACUCAAAUAAUACAAGAUGCUCCAAGAAAAACACAUAUCAUGUGGUGAAUAAAAAUAUAGCUCCAACUAAAGUUGCCGAUGGAAGUAGACGAAAGAGGGGAUGCCUUCCGGGGCAUUCCCAAGCUUUGGCUUUUAGGUGUCCUUAGAUUAUCUUGGGGUGCCAUGGGCAUCCCCAAUCUUAGGCUCUUCCCACUCCUUGUUCCAUAAUACAUCAAAUCUUUCACCCAAAACUUGAAAAUUUCACAACACAAAACUUAGCAGAAAAUCUCGUGAGCUCCGUUAGCGAAAGAAAACAAAAGACCACUUCAAGGUACUGUAAUGAACUCAUUCUUUAUUUAUAUUGGUGUUAAACCUACUGUAUUCCAACUUCUCUAUGGUUUAUAAACUAUUUUACUAGCCAUAGACUCAUCAAAAUAAGCAAACAACACAUGAAAAACAGAAUCUGUCAAAAACAGAACAGUCUGUAGUAAUCUGUAACUAACGCAAACUUCUGGAACUCCAAAAUAUUAGCCAAAAUAGGAAGACCUAGACAAUUUGUUUAUUGAUCAGCAGCAAUUGGAAUCAAUAUUUUAUCACGUUCUGGUGAUUUUUAAGAAUUAUUUUCGUGAACAGAAAGUUUCUGGAAUUUUCUGCAAGAUCAAAUAACUAUCAUCCAAGAAGAUCCUAUUGGUUUAACUUGGCACAAACGCUAAUUAAAACAUAAAAACACAUCUAACCAGAGGCUAGAUCAAAUAUUUAUUCCUAAACAGAAGCAAAAGGCAAAAAAAUACUAAAAAUAAAAUUGGGUUGCCCCCCAACAAGCGCUAUCGUUUAAUGCCCUUAGCUAGGCAUAAAAGCAAGGAUAGAUCUAGGUAUUGCCAUCUUUGGUUGGCAAUCCAUAAG
rnacentral:lncRNA from 1 species